GUUUGAUCCUGGCUCAGGAUGAACGCUGGCGGCGUGCCUAAUACAUGCAAGUCGAGCGAACAGACGAGGAGCUUGCUCCUUUGACGUUAGCGGCGGACGGGUGAGUAACACGUAGGUAACCUACCUAUAAGACUGGGAUAACUUCGGGAAACCGGAGCUAAUACCGGAUAAUAUUUCGAACCGCAUGGUUCGAUAGUGAAAGAUGGCUUUGCUAUCACUUAUAGAUGGACCUGCGCCGUAUUAGCUAGUUGGUAAGGUAACGGCUUACCAAGGCAACGAUACGUAGCCGACCUGAGAGGGUGAUCGGCCACACUGGAACUGAGACACGGUCCAGACUCCUACGGGAGGCAGCAGUAGGGAAUCUUCCGCAAUGGGCGAAAGCCUGACGGAGCAACGCCGCGUGAGUGAUGAAGGUCUUCGGAUCGUAAAACUCUGUUAUUAGGGAAGAACAAACGUGUAAGUAACUGUGCACGUCUUGACGGUACCUAAUCAGAAAGCCACGGCUAACUACGUGCCAGCAGCCGCGGUAAUACGUAGGUGGCAAGCGUUAUCCGGAAUUAUUGGGCGUAAAGCGCGCGUAGGCGGUUUUUUAAGUCUGAUGUGAAAGCCCACGGCUCAACCGUGGAGGGUCAUUGGAAACUGGAAAACUUGAGUGCAGAAGAGGAAAGUGGAAUUCCAUGUGUAGCGGUGAAAUGCGCAGAGAUAUGGAGGAACACCAGUGGCGAAGGCGACUUUCUGGUCUGUAACUGACGCUGAUG
rnacentral:rRNA from 1 species